AUCCUGUCGAGGCCCUGCAACUCCUGGGAGAG
rnacentral:scRNA from 1 species